CAUGGAAGAGAGGGGUGGGGUGAGCAGAGCUCAUUAGCAUUGAAAGGGACAUGCACCAAAACGGGUCGUUGUGAUGAGACAUAAUUGCUUUUAAAG